rnacentral:rRNA from 1 species
AUUGAACGCUGGCGGCAGGCCUAACACAUGCAAGUCGAGCGGAUGAAGGGAGCUUGCUCCUGGAUUCAGCGGCGGACGGGUGAGUAAUGCCUAGGAAUCUGCCUGGUAGUGGGGGAUAACGUCCGGAAACGGGCGCUAAUACCGCAUACGUCCUGAGGGGGAAAGUGGGGGAUCUUCGGACCUCACGCUAUCAGAUGAGCCUAGGUCGGAUUAGCUAGUUGGUGGGGUAAAGGCCUACCAAGGCGACGAUCCGUAACUGGUCUGAGAGGAUGAUCAGUCACACUGGAACUGAGACACGGUCCAUACUCCUACGGGAGGCAGCAGUGGGGAAUAUUGGACAAUGGGCGAAAGCCUGGUCCAGCCAUGCCGCGUGUGUGAAGAAGGUCUUCGGAUUGUAAAGCACUUUAAGUUGGGAGGAAGGGCAGUAAGUUAAUACCUUGCUGUUUUGACGUUACCAACAGAAUAAGCACCGGCUAACUUCGUG